CCUUAGCAGGGAUGAAAGUGUGUUUCCACACCCAGAUUCACUUUUUAAUAAAGUGCUGUUACUGAAAAGCUCAUCAUGGAAAGAUCUUAAGUAACUUCCAGCUUCAUUACUGUUUAUCCAGAACAGGGUCGUGGUAAAACUACAGGAAACAAACACAGACCGACAGAGAAAACAUCCACAGCCAUUUCUGUGACUGUUCAUCUUUCUCCUACAAAACCUCAAUACAGUCCUGAAGACAACAGUGAUCAUACAGAAACUACACUGAAGACACCAACUCACACUGGUUCCCUUACUAACCAUACAAGUCACACAACUGUAGGUGCAACAGCUACAGGAGCAGUGCUCCCCGUCAGGCUCUCCUUCUUCUUCCUGGCCCUGAUCGUCCCUCUGCUCACUGGAGCUGCUGUUUACACCAAGAGGAAGAGGAGCAUCGCUCAGCGCAGUGACUGCACCAGCAGCGUUUCUUUCCAUAGGCGACAGGCUGAUGAGUGAAUAUUAUCUGCAGUGUGCAGAUAUACAGCGUGUUUAGAGACACUGUUACAUGUGUAAGAUCUGUUAUGCAUGUGGUGCCUGUUUGAAAAUGCGCUGGCCCAGAGUUACUUACUGUACUUCUAAUGUUAUUCCGGCUUUGAUCUAAAUCAGACCUGCAGUUAUAUCAUGUGUGUAUAUAAUGAGAGCAGUGAGCCCUGCUCUCUCAGCAGCUCCAGAGAGGAACAGGGCGGCCCUACAGCCUGCCAGUGACCUGCAGUUAUAUCAUGUGUGUAUAUAAUGAGAGCAGUGAGCCCUGCUCUCUGCUCAGUCCUGCAGCUCUCCUUCAUAUUGCAUGUUGUUAUGUACAGGAUCCAGAAUUUCCCGUUGGAUCAAUAAAGUAAAUCUUUUUACAGAAACUUGCUGAAUUUUUUUGAUUCAUUGUAUAAAAUUUGAGUUUUAGCUGUUUUUCUCUCUGUCAGACCAAUCGUACCUUUUU